rnacentral:rRNA from 1 species
GACAGAGGGUGCAAACGUUGUUCGGAAUUACUGGGCAUAAAGAGCACGUAGGUGGUCUGCUAAGUCGUGUGUGAAAUCCCCCGGCUCAACCGGGGAAUUGCGCUCGAUACUGGCAGGCUCGAGGUGGGUAGGGGUGAGCGGAACUCCAGGUGGAGCGGUGAAAUGCGUAGAUAUCUGGAGGAACACCGGUGGCGAAAGCGGCUCACUGGACCCAAUCUGACACUGAGGUGCGAAAGCUAGGGUAGCAAACGGG